GCGGCGGCGGCGGCGGCGGCGGCGGGGAUGCGCGGCCCGGCCCGCGGCAGCUGUGAAUUCUCGUAGAAGAUUGAUAGCUCUGCCAACAUUUGUCCACAAUUGAAGAUGGGUGGAUUGAUUUCGAGAUGGAGGCAGGCAAAGCCAUCCACUGUAGAAGUAUUAGAAAAAAUAGAUAAGGUAU